UGGAAGAAUAAAAAAAAAUUAGUUAUUAUGAUGAAGGAGAGUAAGACUUUUAUAAUAGCUCCAUUCUAAUCUUAGGAACAUCACUCCACCUUUUACUAUAAUAUCCUCACUAUGUGGCCUAUAAUGCUUAAGUCACAGUAGAUUGAUAGCAAAAAGUGGCGUGGCAUUGGCGCUUCAUUGGCAUGUCCAUAGCGUGUGGUUGGCGUGCCAAAAUCACACGCCCCCAAGCUCAGAAGUUGGUGUGGCAUUGGCGCUUCAUUGGCGUGUCUUUGGCAUGUGGUUGGCGUGCCAAAACCACACGCCCUCAAGCUUCAGCCCUUGGCGUGUCAUGGGUGUGCCUGGGAAGUGGCACGCUGGGCCAACUUCCCAAAAGAUGCCUCAAAGAGCAAAAGUUGGCAUGGCAAGGGCGUGUCUCUGGCGUGGGAAGAGAGACACGCCCUCGAAGCUUCAUUCUUCUCCAAGUGGGCAUGGGAGCUGGCGUGUCUCGGAAGUGGCACGCUGGGCCAACUUCCCAGGGAGCAUAAUACCACCCUUGGCGUGCACUAUGGCGUGUGGUUGACGUGUCAACCACCACACACCCUCACAACUUGGAACAAUUACAUAAUGGGCAUGCCAAGGGCGUGGCACGCUGAACCACCUUCACAAAACCUUCAAUAUUUGGUGUGCCACCAAAGUGGCACUUCCAUGACACGCCAUUCAAUCUCAAGGCAAUUUACCAUCUUGGGCUCACAAUCUUUGAAGAAAGAAGACUCGACUACAAGCAAGAGGACCAUAAGUUGGAUAGAAUUGUAAUUGUAGUGAUUUGAAUCAGAUCUGGAGUGGAAUUUUGGGAGUUGAGAGUAGUAUAUAACCCCAUUUUGCACUCUUCCUUUUGUGUUUUUCACUUUUGAUUCUUUUCUGAAAGUCAUGAGUGGCUAAUUGACUGGAGUCAAGAACUCUAUCGUAAUUUGAUGGAUCAAUAGUAAUUUUAUUUUUAUCUUCAAUUAUUCUUUAGGGAGAAUAUUCGUUAUUUAUCGCAAUGAUUCAAUUAUCUUGAGAAAGAAAUUGAAUCUAACUGAAUUCUAUGAGGAAUUGAGAAAGGAAUCAUAGAAUUAAUGCUUGAAGUUCUUUCUCGCAAUUGAUGUGAAUUUGGAUUUGAGAUUGAUAUGUGGUAUAUAAUCAAUCUAUGAUUUGAUUCAUGAAAUUUUGUGGCUCUAAAUUAGAGACCAACCUUCAGCUCUUCUCAUGAUCAAUUAGAUCAAGAGAUUGGCAAUUCAUCAAGUUAAGAGAAAUCAAAUCACCAAAAAAUUAGGAUUUAAUUACUUAUGAUUUGCCAAGAGAUCAAUAAUUGAAUGAUUAAAGUAGAGAUGAAACCCAUUUUGAUUCAGAGAAUUCAAUAUCUCUAAACCCCCAAUGAUCCCCCUCUCAUCCUCUUAAUUCCCCUUCUUUGCUUUCAUUUACUUAAUGCUCUUUUACAUUGUUGUGUUUAUAAUCUUGCAAUUUACUAUUCCUCCAAUUUAGAUUUCCAGCUUUUAUAUUUUGUCAUCUUUACUUUCUAGUCUUUUAAUUUCCAGCAAUCUAUCUUUUCAAUCAUUUACUUUCUGCUUUUUACAUUCAAAGUCAUUUCCAGCUUUUGAUUACUUUUCCUUCAAGUCAUUUUACAUUUCAUGCUUAUUUCAUUACUUGUCCAUCAUCAAACUAUGAAUUGUCUAACCAAAUUUCUCAAUCAAUCAUUAUUUGCUUAAUUCCUUAAUUUUCGUGGGAUCGACACUCACUCACCGUGAAUUUUACUACUUGAUACGAUCUGGUGCACUUGCCGGUAGUUCUACAUAAUAGUGAAUUAUUUGUCAAUUCCGUAUCAGCAACCUUUGGAAAUUCCGUAAUAAAAAUGGGAAAGCGUCGCAAUGGACUUUGUGUUUGGAUUGCCGAGGAUUCAGGCAGGAUUUGAUACAGUUUGGGUGAUUGUGGAUCGGUUAACGAAGUCAACUCACUUCUUGCCCGUCCGGAUGAAUUAUACUUUGGAGGAGUUGCUACGCUUAUACAUUAAGGAGAUUGUAAGGUUGCAUGGUAUCCCUAACACCAUAGUUUCUGACAGAGAUCCUCGUUUCACUUCGAGAUUUUGAGAAACUUUUCAGAGAAUUUUCGAAACUCAAUUGAGCUUAAGCACUGCGUACCAUUCUUAAAUCGAUGGUCAAUCGGAGAGGAUGAUACAAACCCUAGAAAAUAUGCUGAGGGCUUGUGUGCUGGAUCAUCCGCUUAGGAAGAUUCAACUUUUUCUUAUGUCUAGAGGAAACUUAUCUGGACAAUGGAGGCAUUCAUCUAUCUCAACAAAAGUUUGUUAUGACACAACCAGACUUAUCAUAUUCUGUGAACAGAGUUUCUCAAUUCAUACAGGAUCUUACUUUAAAUCAUUGAAAGAUUGGACAAGUGAUCCAAAUGAUCGUCGCUUCAUUACUAGCUACUAUGUUUAUAUGGGGAGUAACUUGAUUUUGUGGAAAUGUCACAAGCAAACCAAAGUGAGUCAUAGCAGUACAAAGGCAGAGUAUCGAGCUUUAUUAGCUUCAGUUCAAUUUGGCACUUUGAGCGAGUUUCAAUCUCUUAGUCUAUAAAUGGUAAACAGUCGACAACUCUAUGUGGUGCAUAUCCCGGCAAGAGACCAAAUCGAUAUGCCUUAACUAAACCUUAAUCAUUCAAUAUGUUCAACAUCCUUCAAGACAAACUUAGGGUCAGUCCUAAUCUUCCCCUAAGAAUGAAGAGGGGUUUAUGAAAAGUGUACAAAGUGAUAAAGGGUAGAGAUAUGGGAAACAGAGGGAGAGUUAGUUAUUUUUCCUCCAAAUUCUGUUACCUUUCUCUCUCUAUUCUCUCAGGCUAUUAGUGUAUAAAUACCAUAAUUCUCUCUCAAUGUACUGGUACAAUAACAAGCUUAAUAUCAUUCAUACGUUUAAUCACAAACACUACUAUUCUUUCA